rnacentral:rRNA from 1 species
AACGAACGCUGGCGGCAUGCCUAACACAUGCAAGUCGAACGAGACCUUCGGGUCUAGUGGCGCACGGGUGCGUAACGCGUGGGAACCUGCCCUUAGGUUCGGAAUAACUCCUCGAAAGGGGUGCUAAUACCGGAUAAUGUCUUCGGACCAAAGAUUUAUCGCCUUUGGAUGGGCCCGCGUUGGAUUAGCUAGUUGGUAGGGUACAAGCCUACCAAGGCGACGAUCCAUAGCUGGUCUGAGAGGAUGAUCAGCCACACUGGGACUGAGACACGGCCCAGACUCCUAGGGGAGGCAGCAGUGGGGGAUAAAGGACAAUGGGCGAGAGCCUGAGCCGGCAAUGCCGCGUGGGUGAUGAAGGCGUUAGGGUUGUAUAGCGCUUUUACCCGGGAUGAUAAUGACAGUACCGAGAGAAUAAGCUCCGGCUAACUCCGUG